rnacentral:rRNA from 1 species
AAACUCAAAUGAAUUGACGGGACCCCGCACAAGCGGUGGAUUAUGUUGUUUAAUUCGACGCAACGCGAAGAACCUUACCAGGCCUUGACAUACUCGGCAAAGCUCUAGAGAUAGAGUGGAGGUUAUCCGGGAUACAGGUGGUGCAUGGUUGUCGUCAGCUCGUGUCGUGAGAUGUUGGGUUAAGUCCCGCAACGAGCGCAACCCUUGUCUUUAGUUACCAUCAUUCAGUUGGGGACUCUAGAGAGACUGCCGGUGAUAAACCGGAGGAAGUGGGGAUGACGUCAAAUCAUCAUGCCCCUUAUGGCCUGGGCUACAAACGUAAUACAAUGGCGUAUACAAAGGGAUGCGAAAGGGCGACCUGGAGCAAAACUCACAAAGUACGUCUCAGUUCAGAUUGGAGUCUGCAACUCGACUCCAUGAAGGCGGAAUCGCUAGUAAUCGCGGAUCAGCAUGCCGCGGUGAAUACGUUCUCGGGGUUU